GACGAACGCUGGCGGCGUGCUUAACACAUGCAAGUCGAACGGAAAGGCCCUGCUUUUGUGGGGUGCUCGAGUGGCGAACGGGUGAGUAACACGUGUGUAACCUGCCCUUGACUUUGGGAUAACUUCAGGAAACUGGGGCUAAUACCGUAUAGGAACUCCUGCUGCAUGGUGGGGGUUGGAAAGUUUCGGCGGUUGGGGAUGGUCUCGCGGCUUAUCAGCUUGUUGGUGGGGUAGUGGCUUACCAAGGCUUUGACGGGUAGCCGGCCUGAGAGGGUGACCGGCCACAUUGGGACUGAGAUACGGCCCAGACUCCUACGGGAGGCAGCAGUGGGGAAUAUUGCACAAUGGGCGGAAGCCUGAUGCAGCAACGCCGCGUGCGGGAUGACGGCCUUCGGGUUGUAAACCGCUUUCGCCUGUGACGAAGCGUGAGUGACGGUAAUGGGUAAAGAAGCACCGGCUAACUACGUG
rnacentral:rRNA from 1 species